rnacentral:tRNA from 1 species
GCCCUCGUAGCCCAAUUGGUAGAGGCAAACCCCUUAAAAGGGUUGUGGUGUCGGUUCGAAUCCGAUCGAGGGCACCG